rnacentral:rRNA from 1 species
AACGUAGGAGGCAAGCGUUAUCCGGAGUUACUGGGCGUAAAGCGUGCGUAGGUGGUUUGCCAAGUUCGGUGUGAAAGCGCCCGGCUUAACCGGGCGAGGACAUUGAAGACUGGUGAACUCGAGGGUGGUAGAGGGGCGUAGAAUUCCGGGUGUAGCGGUGAAAUGUGUAGAGAUCCGGAGGAAUACCAGUGGUGCAGACGGCGCCCUGGGCCAACCCUGACACUGAGGCACGAAAGCGUGGGGAGCGAACGGG